AACGAACGCUGGCGGCAGGCCUAACACAUGCAAGUCGAGCGCCCCGCAAGGGGAGCGGCGGACGGGUGAGUAACGCGUGGGAACGUGCCCUUUGCUACGGAAUAGCCCCGGGAAACUGGGAGUAAUACCGUAUAAGCCCUACGGGGGCAAGAUUAAUCGGCAAAGGAUAGGCCCGCGUUGGAUUAGGUAGUUGGUGGGGUAAUGGCCUACCAAGCCGACGAUCCAUAGCCGGUUUGAGAGGAUGAUCAGCCACACUGGGACUGAGACACGGCCCAGACAACUACGGGAGGAAGCAGUGGGGAAUCUGAGACAAUGGGCGCAAGCCUAAUCUAGCCAUGCCGCGUGAGCGAUGAAGGCCUUAGGGUUGUAAAGCUCUUUCGUAGGGGAAGAUAAUGACUGGACCCCAAGAAGAAGCCCCGGCUAACUCCGUGCCAGCCGCCGCGGUUAAUAC
rnacentral:rRNA from 1 species